rnacentral:misc_RNA from 1 species
GAAAUGCGAUAAGUAAUGUGAAUUGCAGAAUUCAGUGAAUCAUCGAAUCUUUGAACGCACCUUGCGCUCCUUGGUAUUCCUUGGAGCAUGCCUGUUUGAGUAUCAUGAAAUCUUCAAAGUAAAUCUUUUGUUAACUCAAUUGGUUUCUACUUUGGUAUUGGAGGUCUUUGCAGCUUCACACCUGCUCCUCUUUGUUCAUUAGCUGGAUCUCAGUGUUAUGCUUGGUUCCACUCGGCGUGAUAAGUUAUCUAUCGCUGAGGACACUGUAAAAGGUGGUCAAGGUAAAUGCAGAUGAACCGCUUCUAGUAGUCCAUUGACUUGGACAAUACUUUUAUGAUCUGAUCUCAAAUCAGGUAGGACUACCCGCUGAACUUAAGC